GACAAACGCUGGCGGCGUGCCUAAAACAUGCAAGUCGAACGGACUCUUCGGAGUCAGUGGCGGACGGCUGAGUAACACGUAGGUGACCUGCCCUUGAGUGGGGAAUAACGGUCCGAAAGGAUCGCUAAUACCGCAUACGACCGUUCCGUUUAGGCGGGAUGAGGAAAGCCGAAAGGCGCUCGAGGAGGGGCCUGCGUCCGAUUAGCUAGUUGGUGGGUAAAGGCCUACCAAGGCGACGAUCGGUAGCUGGCUAAGAGGAUGAUCAGCCAGACUGGGACUGUGACACGGCCCAGACUCCUACGGGAGGCAGCAGUUAGGAAUCUUGGGCAAUGGGCGAAAGCCUGACCCAGCAACGCCGCGUGGGUGACGAAGGCCUUCGGUCGUAAG
rnacentral:rRNA from 1 species